rnacentral:rRNA from 1 species
GACAGAGGGGGCAAGCGUUGCUCGGAAUUACUGGGCGUAAAGGGUGCGUAGGCGGCGCGGUAAGUCGGGUGUGAAAUCUUGGAGCUUAACUCCGAAACUGCAUUCGAUACUGCCGUGCUUGAGGACUGGAGAGGAGACUGGAAUUUACGGUGUAGCGGUGAAAUGCGUAGAGAUCAUGAGGAAGACCAGUGGCGAAGGCGGGUCUCUGGACAGUUCCUGACACUGAGACACGAAGGCCAGGGGAGCAAACGGG